rnacentral:lncRNA from 1 species
AUCAUUAUUUCAGCCUCUAGUAAAUUAUUUUCUUUACCAAACAUGUACAUCACUUCUUAGGUAUGGCAGCGCAUCAUUUUGUAUUAGAGAUGAUGUCAUGUAGUGCCAUAGAAGGCUUAGGAGACACAGUGAACAAGAAGCUCAUUGUCUUUCUCAAACAAGAGCAGUACUACCUAGUGAUUAAACUCUGCAGCAGCAUAAACACAGUUUUCCAGAAAGCUUUAAAAAAAAGGUACAAAGAGCAAGGACACGCACACACAAACAUACACAUAUUCAACAUGUAGUUGAGCCCUAAUAGCCUAUCAUUUACAGCCAAUACAGGAAGAGAUACCCUAUGCUGGGGUUAUACAUUGACUGGCCCAUACUGCUUACAAUGGGUCAAGCAACUGAUAUGAUAGGAAAACAUGGGGUGACCUCUUUGCUCCUGAUCUAUCCAGGAUUUUUCUAGCUUCUGGGGCAUUGCCUGUGUGUGUUAAGUGACAACCCAGUAAGUGGUGCAACUACUCCCAAGAAGUGCUUUUUUUCUAGGAAAAAAAUGCUGGAACUCACCGCCUCAGUUGCCAGCCCAGAUGCCAAUGUUGAUGCCAUCUUGAAACCAAAAUCACGUGACAAGAUAGGGAGGUUCAGAUUAUUUCCCCCCUUCAGUGUCUUCACUCAUUAACAGGGAGGAAGAUGCACAUGUACACUCCCAGCCAGGCUGCAGCUUGAAAUCCUCAUUUCUUUGCGGGGGACUCACCACACAAGGCCUUGCCAUGCAGCGCAGAUCCUCCAUGUUGCAUCCGGCCAUGGCAGCAGCCAGCCACCUCCACCUUCAUCUUCUGGCUUCAGAGAGGUAAGCCUUGACCGUUGGAGCCAGCUGGAGUGCCCCUGCCCCAACCCACUGCUGCUGCACCAGCUACUUGGAGCCUGUGGUUGUUGUAAACAAACAGCACUAUCAUUGUCAGGAAGCGGCCCGCAAUGGCACCCACCUGAGAGAUGCUGGAACUGUGUGUUCUGGCAGAGAUGAAGUCCCGCUCCCAAGACAGUAUGCUUCUGUAAUGUUCCUAAUAGUCCUAGCACCUUCUGCCAAACAGAAGUAAUGUGAGUAAGAUGGCUAGUUUGGACACCAGGUAGCUGGAUACCCUUCUGUAGUUCUGUGCCUAGCUUUGCCAUGACACUAGGGAGAAGGCAGCAGAGGCAUGUUACCAUGGCUGCUUGGAUGAGUACUUUGACGCCUCUGCAUAUUAAGGUCUUGAGUCCAUUUCCUUACAGAAUUACUUUGUAUUCUGGCCUCUAUGCUUUAUUCCUAGCUGAUUAAUGUUCAUUGUUCACAGUAGAAAAUGUUGUGAUCUGAAAACUGCCUAAGCAGCGGUUGCACAUAAACUGGAUUGAAAUUAAUGAAGUCAAGGUCGCAGUGUAUUAUUAUUGUGAGCAGACAACAACAAUGCAAAAUAGAUGGGGUUCCUGUUGAAAAAGUAAAGAAAGCCACAAUUUAUUACUAAGAACACAACAUAAAGGGGGAAAGGGGAAAGUCUAAAACUGAAGGAAAGAAAGGGUAUGAGGAUAGGACAAAAAAGGCAAGUACUUGUAUAUUUCUGUUGUAAAGCACUGUAUCCAACUCCUAAAAACCACCCAUAGUAGCAAACAAUUGGAUUGUAGAUUCCAGCUGACAACUCAAUACACAACUGGGAUAAGCAGAAUACUUUCGUUAUCACAGUUUUAAGAUUCCUUUAUCUCAGCAGGCAUUUCCCCCCUCAACAAAUGGGUGUGUAAAUAGUGCAUAAAAAUGGGAUGUUUGAUAAGAAUGGCGUGUCUAAAAAUGCUGUCUAGAAAGCAAGUGAAGAAAUAUUUAAGUGAGUAGGAUAAGGGAUGCUAGGUCAUGGUCCUUGGAGGAGUAAUCAUUUUAGCAGAAGUUGCUAUGAGGUUUGCAUGGAGCUGUCUGUUAAAACACUGAGAGGAACCUCUAUUUUAGCAGGUGAUUUGAGGCAAUCAGGAAGGGUGUUGCAUGGAAUCCUGCUGAACUGAGCAGGAUUUAAUUUCCACUGGUGAGCAGCUGUAAAACCCUGCUCAGUUUGGCUGCUACCCCGGUUACCUCCUGAGGGAAGGGGUUUAAUCCCGCCUUCACAUCCUUCACAGGAUGCCACAUUUUCCCAUUUGGGGAAAACAGCCUUGUAUACUGAUUUAGAUCCAACAUACACACUUGGGGGGAUAGGCGAAGAUUGGCCCAUGUGCCAGAGGUUCCCCACUCCAAGUCUAGAAGGCCCAUGACAUAGCUACCAUAUUAAAGCUAAGUAAGUUUGAUCAAUACCUGGAUGAGAGACUGCCCCAUGCAUGCUUUCUUGAGCUUCAUGGGAGAUACUAGCUAACUAAAUAACCAAACUGAGCACCACGAUUUCCUUUGCUGUUUUUUGUGAACAGAAAAGUGUGGGUUGGUUCUAGAGAAAGGCUAGCAGAAUAAAUUCUGGAGGUGUCAUGCAGAGCAAGCAGAAGACAUAGUGUGAUUUUGUGUGGAUCUUCUGCAAUCGGGCGUUUUGAGACCCUGUGGCACAUGUAGUGCAAGAAACUUUUCCAGUGCCUUCCACAAAAGGAAGCACACCUGGAUAUAACUUUUCUCAUACAAGGAUCUUGUAUGUGCCAGAAAAUGCCCUUCUUAAUGUGAAAAAGCCUUCCCCUUAUGGAAGGGCCCCUCUGAUUCCAACCCAUUAUGAUUUAGUGCAUUGACCAAUCAGCAGCCAAGAUUUUCCACAAGUCUCCACAUUGAAAUGCAAGGAUGUGGGAAGUUGUCAGAACAGCUUCAUUUCACUGUAUUUCAUACCAACUAGGCAGUAAAAGUGCUAGUUUGCCAUGUUGGAGAAUGCAGCAUGUAGUAGUUUUUCACAUAAAAGUUUUAAUUUGUAAGAUUUGCUUCCACAGUGGCCCGUUACUUCACGUUGAUUAGCAAUAAUUCUAGCCUUUGGCAUUCUUUUUUCAGUUUCUGAAGGUUUGAUACCCUUUGCCAAUUUAAUUACUGAACGGCCCAUUCACCAUUAGAGACAAAACAAAUAUGAUACAAAGGAAUCUUGUGUCUAUCGUUGGUUUGAGCCCAUUUGUGUGUCUGAAAAUCAUUCUCUUCUGCAUUAAUUUGUUCAUUACACUUAAAUAUAUUGUUGUACAUGAGAGGCAAUCAAACAACAUCUGGAAGCAUCUUGUUGCAAGUGCUAAAUGAAAUUUUAAAAGGGUAGAUCUAUAUAAUAUAUGCAGGAAAAGGAGUUCAAUGAGUAUAUGCAAUUCAGAUGGGGAAUAUGAAUGCUUUUUUUUGAAGAUGACUAUAGUAUAGAUCUGCAGCUUAUUGUUAUUUUUUAAGAAAAUUCUUUAACAAAAUGUACAGUUAGAAAUGAUCACAUAAUAAAUUAUGAUUGAAAAAUUAAAUUUGUUAUGUAGAUAGAUUAUGUUUCUUUAUGCCCUUGCCAUUCCUACCUGCAACUUUGUGAUGUAAAUCUUUGUCACUUUGAACAAUAAAUUCUGAAUUUCAGAUUGUAAAAGAUUCUGGUUUUUACCACAUGAUUUCUCAAGCGCUUAUGGAAAACCAACCUGUGUUUUAAAAACUUGGCCUGUAUAUGUAUAUUUUAAAAAAAGAAAAUCAUAUUUUUUUUGUGAUCACUCUGGCACUUUCUGUGAAUUGGCCAAUAAAUAUGAUUUUAGGAUUUCAC